rnacentral:rRNA from 1 species
CUGCUGCCUUCCGUAGGAGUUUGGGCCGUGUCUCAGUCCCAAUGUGGCCGUCCACCCUCUCAGGCCGGCUACUGAUCGCUGCCUUGGUGGGCCGUUACCCCGCCAACUAGCUAAUCAGACGCGGAUCCAUCUUACACCACCGGAGUUUUUCACACAAAUCCAUGCGGCUUCGUGCGCUUAUGCGGUAUUAGCACCUAUUUCUGAGUGUUAUCCCCCAGUGUAAGGCAGGUUACCCACGCGUUACUCACCCGUCCG